GGAACAGUAGCCAGAAAGAGACGUAACGAAAAGAGAUGAAAUAAUAGCAAUAAAGCGAGGCAAAACAGUGCAAAAGAGAUGGCCGCUGAGCUGGUAGGGGAAUCAAUGAGUGUUACUCGCGCCACCGCUUUUGUUUCUCUCCUCGUCUCUCUCGCUGCAUGGUUAUACUCUCUGUACACCAGUCUCCCACCGUGGUGUUCUAUAUAGGCUCGUCCAACCCUCGAAGCGUGACCGUGACUGUGACUCUGAUCAAACAGAGUGCACGUGUCCACCGUGUGUACGUUACUCUCUGGCUCUGCGCGCUUGCUUGUGCUCUCGCUGGUCCUGUUCUCUACAUCCCCGUAGAACUUGUACCACGUGGAAACACUUUUCUUCGUUUCGACGCGGUUAUUUCACGCGAUACAUGCGUAUCAUACACACGGUUCCAUGUCGUCUAAUUGUAGACGUUCUUCGCUUGGUCAACAAACACUUAACCAUUUCGGUAACCAUUUCAGCGCCACGCGCCCAGAUUCCUAACUAACCUAUAUUUAUGUUUUUUUUCAUGAUUUCCAAAGUGUGGUUAAAAUACAUAAUUAAAAAUUGUUUUACGUGAGUCUAGUAAAUUUUAUAAUAUUUGUUAUAACACGAACUAUCUUAUGUAAUGUAUAAAAUUGGUAACUGUUCGUUAAUAAAAUGUUUUUUUCUGGUACGACUUCUCUGGUUUCUUAAAGAUAAUUCAAGAGAUCGAGAGAGAGAGAGAGAGAGAGAUUGCACUUGAUAUAAAAGUGGAUCUCGUUUGCUCAUUCGAUGUACUCAGCACCCUGAAACAAAUUGCUUUUCAUCGGCCACUUCGAAGGCACUCAGGGAUCAUCUUACGAUUGGCUUAGUUUAUCGGCAGGUUACUACCACUGUUAGUUUUUCUGCAUUCUUUCAUUUACUUUAUCACCAACUGGUGAAGAGAAAUAUGGUCGAACUAUUUCUAUUCAUCUUCUUAUUUAUUUUUGAUUCUUAGUAUUUUGAGAGUCUAAACAUGAAAUAAAAGACAGUAGUAUAUAAAUGCACUUCUGUUUUGAUUUUACAGAAUUAUUGUGGAGGUUAUGUCAAUUAUUAUGAUCGAGGUCAAGAAUUUUAUAAGAAUAAAACACUAAAUUCUACGUAAGAAGAGAGCAUUUAAUCUUGCUCUAGGAUCAGAAUACGAGGAUUGUGGAACCAUUAGCGUCAUCUGUUAUUUAAUUUCCAAGUCAUGAUAAUUGGAUCUGAUUUCGACAAAAGAUACUUUUAUUAUUAAAUUUACAAAUAUAGAAACAUGAAAAGAGGAUAGUAUCUACAAUUAACUGCAUAAACUUGAUUUGAAUGAAAAUAAUAUUGUAUUUCAAAAAAUUUUCAUAAAUCAAUCCUUUUUUAAAAUUUAUUCUCAAUGAUAAUGAUCGAUAUCGAUUUGCUUGUUUUACUUAUUUUCUUUUUCGUGAAGAAACUGCACUUGUUUCCAACAUAAUCACGUAUUAAAUCUGAAACGUCGUAAAAGCACUUAUGAAAAAUGUACCCUGAACCUAGCGCGCUCGCAAUUGGUUGACUCAGCCAAGUGGUUCAAUGGGAUACCGCGCCAUUUCAUUGAUGCCGCUAACCUUAUGGUGAGUAAGUAACGGCCAAUGUCGUUCCUUCUUCAGCUUAAAUUCUAAAUUAUUUCUAUGAAAAUUACACUAUACAAAUUUAUAUUUCUUCAAUGUCUAUUUCACAUUUAUCAAAUUGCAUUAAAUUAAAAUCAAUUGUUUAAACAAUCUAAUCUUUAUAAUUAUCGUAUAGUAGUAAUAAUGAUUGUCAUUAUUACCCUUUUAUAUGGUAAUUUUAAUUUCAAACAUUAAAAAAUUGUUAGUUACUCAUAGUAUAGAUAAAGUUCAUUCAGUGUGUACUAUUCUAAAACUGAAUCUCUAUUCAUGUGAUCAUUACGUAGUACCGCUACCGCUAUUUUAAAGCUAAAGAUCGUUCGGGGUUCCGACCUUCGUACAGAUAAGCGUGCAGAUUCAAUACCACUUAGACUUCUUACCGUGCACCUAUCCAGAAGUCUUUGUUGAUCCAUCAGAUUAGUGUCAACCUGAAACAAUUAUUCUCCACGCAAAAUUUCCGUACAAUUUUACAAUUUCUAUGUCAUACAUUCCAGACUAACGCAAAUAUAAAUAUCGUAUGUAUGCAUGCACACUAUUCUUGUAUUGGUUAAUCACACUUUCUGAUUAUUCCAUUUUUAGAAAUUCCCUAUAUCUCUUCUUUAUUAUCUCUUCUUAAUUAAAGAUAUGAAAUGAUUCUAGUACUUUUGAUUUAAUUUUCUUACUCUAUACUUUAAAAAUAGUUCUACUGCAUUCUUUCCAAGUAACAAUAUAAGAUAAUUUACACCGUGUCUCUUGCUUAAUUUUUUCGACAGCCCUCACGAUACAUAUACCGAGAAAUGGAAUUAAUUUAAAGUACAACGAGUACUUUCUUAUAUGUAUACCGUCAGUGUUAAAUGCCAGCAGCACAACCCUAGCGCUUUAUUCGCCUUGCUAUCUCGUUAGCGAACUCUAUUGGUGUUUCUGUACAACUCGCGACAUUUCCUCCUGCAAGUUCACAAUCUACCCGAUGCCUUCUCUUUUUGGAAUAAUUCAUUUAUAGAAAGAGUGGAGUACAUAAAAGUAGUAAAUUAGUAAAAAUAAAAUAAAAUUAUAUUGUAAAAUUCAUUUCGGGUCAUAUAGACUCAAGAGAAUAGCAGGAUUAAAUUACUCAGGAAAUAAACAAAAUGUAGAAACACGUCUGUGAAGCGACGCGUCUACCGGCGUGGCGCGCUCCGCGUAGCGGCGGGUCACUAAAAUCGAUAUUAAAGCAGACAAUGUUGCAACCGUGCAACGUGGUAUAAACACAAAAAUCAGAAUGCAUAGAGGAAACGGUCGACGCAGUCAGGCACGACUGUGUGGAACGAGUGGCAACCAACAAUGAGAAUAUGCGCAUGCGCCUCGAGAAAUCAAGAAAUACAUAGAUGCACGUCCACAGUGCGUCUGAAAGUGUUCGGUGUGAAUGUGUUCACUAAAGAAUAAGGAGUGGGAGAAAAAAACGGAGAGGGAUGGGGGCAGUACGCGCGUUAAAGUAAAAUAAAAACAACCUUGAAAGUUUGUAAACGGAAACAGGGAUGGGCAUCCGAUGUUCGUUCUUCUGGGAACUUCCGAUCGGACAGACUUAUGAUUAUGAAUGCACGACACGUUGCACUAUGCCACAUUGAUGAAAUGAUAGGAAAUUAAAUAAAUUUUCAAAAUUUGCAAAAUGUCAAGAUUCCUCUUAUUUUGUAAUAUCAAGUUAUAAAUAUAUUUAUGAUAUUAAGGUUAUAUUUCUUUUAUUAUUAAAAAAUACUUUCACUCAGUCCAGUAUAAUUUCAUCUAAUUCCUGAUGAAAUAUGGACGUAUAAAUAAGAUUAUUAGACUAUUAUAGUAUGUAUUACAUAUACAAUAAGUAUGUAUUUAUGAGAUAAUAGAUAAUGAAGAAACAGAGAUGUUUAACAGUGUCAAACAUGUGAGAGUUUUUUCAGAAUGCCGUGAAACCUAUCCUUGUUGCUUCCCACGACUUUAAUAUGCAGACGAGGCGAUUUCUAAUGCGACGCGCCAACAUUUCAACUGAGAGACGUGCAAGCACCUCAUUUGCCUCAUCGAAUGACGAUAGGUAUUACACGAUUGUUCAUUGAUCCAGUGAAACUACGUUUUUUGCUUUCUUUCGUUGCACGAAAUAUUUGCGAGAAAUUUUAUACAUAAAAAUUAUUAAUUAACAAUUGGAAAUAAUAUGAUAAGAAUCUAGAUAUAAUAAUAAAUAAUAUCAAAAAGAGGAUUCGAUACAUCUCUUUAUGGCGUCAUGAUGAUUUUAUGAUAAAUCUUUCUUUAGAAAACUUGUAAUGUUGAUUACAUUAUAAUUUCUAAGAUAUACGUUCGAAGCGUAAAGCCGAAGCCUAUUACCUAUACAAACGUAUAACUCAAGUACGCCGGUAACUAAGAAUGUCUAACGCAACCUUCGAAUGCACCAGCAUUCCACAAAGGGUGUAAUAGUCUCUACUUGAUUAUGCUGUACAAUGCUCUGGCUGAUAAUAGCAGUUUACAAUGUCGUGAUAUUCUUAACACAUGAAAUCCUGUACUUACGUCAUCUAUUAUGUUCUUUUCAAUAAAUUUUUCUCUCGUCUAUCAA